rnacentral:lncRNA from 1 species
UUCUUUCAAUAUAAGGCAAUUUAAAACAAGUGCGAUAUAAAGAAAGACUGUUUAAAACAUGCUAUAAACUCUGUGUGUAUGCAAAGAUACAAUAAGCCUGAGAUGUAUAUAGAAAUACAAAUGAACUGAUGUAUAUAAAAUACAAUACUUUCUGUGUAUGAAAAUACAAUAACUGCUGUGGGAGUUUCUCUAACCGACAAC